rnacentral:rRNA from 1 species
CCUACGGGAGGCAGCAGUGGGGAAUAUUGGACAAUGGGGGGAACCCUGAUCCAGCGACGCCGCGUGAGUGAAGAAGUAUUUCGGUAUGUAAAGCUCUAUCAGCAGGGAAGAAAGAAAUGACGGUACCUGACUAAGAAGCCCCGGCUAACUACGUGCCAGCAGCCGCGGUAAUACGUAGGGGGCAAGCGUUAUCCGGAUUUACUGGGUGUAAAGGGAGCGCAGGCGGCACGGCAAGCCUGAUGUGAAAGCCCGCGGCCCAACCGCGGGACUGCAUUGGGAACUACCGGGCUGGAGUGCCGGAGAGGUAGGCGGAAUUCCUAGUGUAGCGGUGAAAUGCGUAGAUAUUAGGAGGAACACCAGUGGCGAAGGCGGCCUACUGGACGGUGACUGACGCUGAGGCUCGAAAGCGUGGGGAGCAAACAGGAUUAGAUACCCUAGUAGCC